rnacentral:rRNA from 1 species
UUCUAGAGCUAAUACAUGCUAAAAAUCCCGACUUCGGAAGGGAUGUAUUUAUUAGAUUAAAAACCAAUGCCCUUCGGGGCUCUCUGGUGAUUCAUGAUAACUUCUCGAAUCGCACGGCCUUGUGCCGGCGAUGGUUCAUUCAAAUUUCUUCCCUAUCAACUUUCGAUGUUUGGGUCUUGGCCAAACAUGGUUGCAACGGGUAACGGAGGGUUAGGGCUCGACCCCGGAGAAGGAGCCUGAGAAACGGCUACUACAUCCAAGGAAGGCAGCAGGCGCGCAAAUUACCCAAUCCCGACACGGGGAGGUAGUGACAAUAAAUACUGAUACAGGGCUCUUUUGGGUCUUGUAAUUGGAAUGAGUACAAUUUAAAUCCCUUAACGAGGAACAAUUGGAGGGCAAGUCUGGUGCCAGCAGCCGCGGUAAUUCCAGCUCCAAUAGCGUAUAUUAAAGUUGUUGUGGUUAAAAAGCUCGUAGUUGAACCUUGGGCCUGGCUGGCCGGUCCGCCUCACCGCGUGUACUGGUCCGGCCGGGUCUUUCCCCCUGUGGAACCCCAUGCCCUUCACUGGGUGUGGCGGGAAAACAGGACUUUUACUUUGAAAAAAUUAGAGUGCUCCAGGCAGGCCUAUGCUCGAAUACAUUAGCAUGGAAUAAUAGAAUAGGACGUGUGGUUCUAUUUUGUUGGUUUCUAGGACCGCCGUAAUGAUUAAUAGGGACAGUCGGGGGCAUCAGUAUUCAAUCGUCAGAGGUGAAAUUCUUGGAUUGAUUGAAGACUAACUACUGCGAAAGCAUUUGCCAAGGAUGUUUUCAUUAAUCAGGAACGAAAGUUAGGGGAUCGAAGACGAUCAGAUACCGUCGUAGUCUUAACCAUAAACUAUGCCGACUAGGGAUCGGACGAUGUUAUUUUUUGACUCGUUCGGCACCUUACGAGAAA